rnacentral:rRNA from 1 species
UACGAAGGGGGCGAGUGUUGUUCGGAAUUACUGGGCGUAAAGGGCGCGUAGGCGGCCCCUUUUGUCGCGUGUGAAAUCCCGGGGCUCAACCUCGGAACUGCCUUUGAUACAGCAAGUCUUGAGUUCGAGAGAGGUGGGUGGAAUUCCUAGUGUAGAGGUGAAAUUCGUAGAUAUUAGGAAGAACACCGGUGGCGAAGGCGGCCCACUGGCUCGAUACUGACGCUGAGGUGCGAAAGCGUGGGGAGCAAACAGG